rnacentral:lncRNA from 1 species
AGCAGGGCUCCAUCUUAUUUAUUUUUCAAAAAAGUUAUAGCUUUGAAUUAUAGACUAUAUUACUAAAUUUGGUAAGGUAGUUCUUUGCAUGAAUGGGAAUGCGUGUCAAAAUACUUUCACAAAAGGCAUGAUUACAAUGGAAAUGCCCUUUUGCCUCCAGUUUUGCUAACCCUAAAAAGUAUUUAACUAAUUUCAAGCGCUGUUUACACUCAAAUCCCAACAUUGGCCAAAUUAUGUAAUUCUCUUAAAUUUUCAUAUAUGUAGGAGGAAAUUUAACUAUGGUUCUGGUGAAUCAUAGAAAGGAGAGACAAUAUUUGAGGGGAGUUUGUCAGCAGAAUAUCAUGUCUUAUGACCCCAUUACUGAAACACAGACAUUACAAUCAGAAAUAGACCUAAUAAUUCCAGUAUCCCUCCAUUAGCUAGUUCCAAUGAUGCUGAGAGACAGAGCACCCUGUGCCAGGUGUCAGGAAUAUAAGCCUCAGCAGAGGGUAACUGAAAACUUUCAAUCAGAAACACCCUCGAAGGUUUAUGCUAGAUUAUGUAGGUCACUCCCAUUCGAAACUUUUCUAUACAAAGGUGGGAAAGCACUCAGAAUCUGUGAAUUUUCUGGUUGGAAAAACAAUGUUCUCCUUUUCCAAAUUGGAAUAAAGACUCAGAAUUACCCAUUCUUCAUAAUGAUGUCUGAUUGGUACAUGCACUCCAGGAAGUCUCAACCUAGAAACGUUGCCAACCUAAGCAUUUAGAGGAAAACUGGCUCAUCUUCUGACCCAAACUCAAAACAUAUGAGUACUUGCAUACCUCCAUUUCUGCAUGGAAGAUGUUAAAACAGAUUUCAUUUUGUUCCAUUUAUUUUGGGAAGGUGCGUGGGGGUGUUCUUUCAAGUGAUUCACAUCUCAAACCCAUACCACUCUCAACUUUUAUUUGAUGUGUUCAAAGCCAAAAAAUAAAAUAAAAUAAAGCAGGGCUGAACACUUAAUUUGACAUGAAGCUGAAGGAGUGAGCAAGCCAGAGGAGAGAGGUUGAAUGAAGCAUAGCCUUGGCUUCAUACCACACUUUUUGUGCCUUGUAUUAUCAAUGUAAAUUCUGAAUGUUGUACAGUAAAUACUUGGAUGGACUUCUUAGAAAAGGCUGCACUGGCUUCUUUUUCAGCACAUGUACAUAUCUAUAAAUAUAUAUACAUAUAUAUUUGGUAAUGCCAAACAGCUGUGUUAUAUUGUAUUGAACAAAAUGGAUGGUUUGGAUGUUUUAUGUAGAGUUUGCAAAAAAAAAAAAAAACUGGAUGGUUACAGACUUUUCGAGAUAAAUGUACAGACGUAAAUUACUGCAUAUCAGUUAUUUAUGAAUAAAGAGUCUUUUAUUGACAUUUUA